ensembl:lncRNA
CUAGUAACAGCCGUCUCCCAAGCUCACUUGGCCUGAGACGGUCAACAGCGAACAUGCUGAGCUGCUUCUCCACUUCGAGAGGCCGUAGCCUCAGGACCCCAGGAUCUCAGUCCUUCAUCAUCUAUGCAAGUCAGGCUCCACAUUAAAAUUCUGCCACUUGAAAUGCUCAGAUUUGAUUUGACUGGAACUUGGAAUCACUUGGAAAUUGUGGGUGAGAAGAAGAAAGACCAAUGAAGAAGGAACCAUCCAGGCCAGGAUAGAGGUCAAAGAGGAGAAAAGUGACAGAAAGAAAGUCACCAAUUUUCCCUUGACUUUGGACAGCUCUGCUUCCCUCUGAUGAAGCCCAGUUGUGCAAUUUUCUUUCCCUCAAUUAAAGGGAAAAAAUACAGAGUACUGAAAGGCCAA